CCCAGAUAGCUGAUACCAGAUCAAAGUCCAGCGGGGGCAGGAAUGUAAAAACAAUGCCUACUACUCCCUUGCAAGGAGAGUGAAGGAAACCGCCUGAGUCUCUGCUCCCCACCUCAUCUGUCUGGAGCCGCCAAAAGCUUUUGACUCUGGUUGCUGUGCUGCUUUCCCGCAUCCCUGAAAUGUGACUCUGCAUUCUCCCUUUCCUUCGCCCUCCUCUAGGUUUUACCAGCCAUCUUAAAGAGAAAUGAAUUGUCAGACCUGCGCAGCCCUGAGCAAUGUGGCUCUCUCCAGGACAAUCCGAAAAGCAACAAAAAUGCUGAAAGCAAAAAUAGCAAGCAAGAAUACAUUAUUGGAAGAUCAGAAGAAUUUGUCAGAUGUCAAGAACAAAAACUCAUGAAGAAAAAAGUGCACAGAAGACAAAAGUAACUGCAACAAAAGUGCUACUCACUAUCUAUGAAACCCUAUGGCCUUUGAAUAUAGGACCUUUCAUCUCCCUCAGGGUCACCCUGAAUCAUCCACAGCAAUGUAGAUGUCGGACAGAUUG